GUGAAUGAUGAUGCGUGUAUUCUGCAAUGCUGACCUGUCUGACGAGAAGCAAUACUACUACUAUGACUAUUGGCAUCUGACAC
rfam:Leptomonas pyrrhocoris LpyrH10_03, whole genome shotgun sequence.